rnacentral:rRNA from 1 species
CUUAACACAUGCAAGUCGAACGAGAAAGGGACUUCGGUCCUGAGUAGAGUGGCGCACGGGUGAGUAACACGUGGAUAAUCUACCCAAUGAUCCGGAAUAACACUUCGAAAGGGGUGCUAAUACCGGAUAAGCCCACAGACUCUUCGGAGUGUGCGGGAAAAGGCGGGGACCUUCGGGCCUGCCGUCAUCGGAUGAGUCCGCGGCCCAUUAGCUAGUUGGUGGGGUAAUGGCCUACCAAGGCGACGAUGGGUAGCUGGUCUGAGAGGAUGAUCAGCCACGCUGGAACUGAGACACGGUCCAGACUCCUACGGGGGGCAGCAGUGGGGAAUUUUGCGCAAUGGGCGAAAGCCUGACGCAGCAACGCCGCGUGAGUGAUGAAGGCUUUCGGGUCGUAAAGCUCUGUCAGAGGGGAAGAAACACCCGGAGGAUAAUACUCUUCGGGCUUGACGGUACCCUCAAAGGAAGCACCGGCUAACUCCGUGCCAGCA